UUUCAUGUUCUCUAAAACCAGUGGUUUUCAAAGUUUUCUUCUGGUGAGCCAGUUGAAGAAAUUGGUUGAUGCCUGUGAUGCAACGGAGGUGGGGAUGAG